rnacentral:rRNA from 1 species
GACGAACGCUGGCGGCGUGCUUAACACAUGCAAGUCGAACGGUAAGGCCCUUCGGGGUACACGAGUGGCGAACGGGUGAGUAACACGUGGGUGAUCUGCCCUGCACUUCGGGAUAAGCCUGGGAAACUGGGUCUAAUGCCGGAUAGGACCCUGGGAUGCAUGUCCUGGGGUGGAAAGCUUUUGCGGUGUGGGAUGGGCCCGCGGCCUAUCAGCUUGUUGGUGGGGUGAUGGCCUACCAAGGCGACGACGGGUAGCCGGCCUGAGAGGGUGACCGGCCACACUGGGACUGAGAUACGGCCCAGACUCCUACGGGAGGCAGCAGUGGGGAAUAUUGCACAAUGGGCGCAAGCCUGAUGCAGCGACGCCGCGUGAGGGAUGACGGCCUUCGGGUUGUAAACCUCUUUCAGCACCGACGGAGCGCAAGUGACGGUAGGUGCAGAAGAAGGACCGGCCAACUACGUGCCAGCCGCCGCAGUAA